UACGUAGGGUGCGAGCGUUAAUCGGAAUUACUGGGCGUAAAGCGUGCGCAGGCGGUUCGUUGUGUCGGUGGUGAAAUCCCCGGGCUUAACCUGGGAAUGGCCAUGGAAACUGGCGAACUGGAGUGCGGCAGAGGGGGGUGGAAUUCCGCGUGUAGCAGUGAAAUGCGUAGAGAUGUGGAGGAAUACCGAUGGCGAAGGCAGCCCCCUGGGAUAACACUGACGCUCAUGCACGAAAGCGUGGGGAGCAAACAGG
rnacentral:rRNA from 1 species